rnacentral:rRNA from 3 species
UUAAGUUAACAAGGGCGCAUGGUGAAUGCCUUGGCACUAGGAGCCGAUGAAGGACGGGACUAACACCGAUAUGCUUCGGGGAGCUGUACGUAAGCUAUGAUCCGGAGAUUUCCGAAUGGGGCAACCCAGCAGUUUUAAUCAACUGUUACCACUAGAUGAAUUCAUAGUCUAGUUGGAGGUAAACGCUGUGAACUGAAACAUCUCAUUAGCAGCAGGAAUAUAAAGAAAUUUCGAUUCCCUAAGUAGCGGCGAGCGAACGGGGAACAGCCCAAACCAAAGUGCUUGCACUUUGGGGUUGUAGGACUGAACAUUUGAGUUACCAAAGAACUUGAUAGUCGAAGGAUUUGGGAAAAUCCGCCAUAGAUGGUGAUAGCCCAGUAGAUUAAAUCAAAUUCUCUCAGUUCAGGAUCCUGAGUACGGCGGAACACGUGAAAUUCCGUCGGAAUCCGGGAGGACCAUCUCCCAAGGCUAAAUACUACCUAGUGACCGAUAGUGAACCAGUACCGUGAGGGAAAGGUGAAAAGCACCCCGGGAGGGGAGUGAAAUAGUUCCUGAAACCAUGUGCCUACAAUAAGUCAGAGCGCGUUAAUGCGUGAUGGCGUGCCUUUUGUAGAAUGAACCGGCGAGUUAUGAUCCCGUGCAAGGUUAAGACUAAAAAGUCGGAGCCGUAGCGAAAGCGAGUCUGAAAUGGGCGUUUUGAGUACGAGGUUAUAGACCCGAAACCAGGUGACCUAUCCAUGUCCAGGUUGAAGGUGCGGUAAAACGCACUGGAGGACCGAACCCGUGUAAGUUGAAAAUUGCUGGGAUGAGGUGUGGAUAGCGGUGAAAUUCCAAACGAACUUGGAGAUAGCUGGUUCUCUCCGAAAUAGCUUUAGGGCUAGCCUCGGAAUUAGGAUCAUGGAGGUAGAGCACUAUUUGGACUAGGGGCCCGUCUUGGGUUACUGAAUUCAGAUAAACUCCGAAUGCCAUUGAUUCAUAUCCGGGAGUCAGACGAUGAGUGAUAAGAUCCACCGUCGAAAGGGGAACAGCCCAGACCAUCAGUUAAGGUCCCUAAAUGUAUGCUAAGUGGAAAAGGAUGUGGAGUUGCAUAGACAACUAGGAUGUUGGCUCAGAAGCAGCCACCAUUUAAAGAGUGCGUAAUAGCUCACUAGUCGAGUGAUCCUGCGCCGAAAAUGUACCGGGGCUAAGCAUACUACCGAAACCAUGGAUGCGACCAUUAGGUCGCGUGAUAGGAGAGCGUUCUAAGGGCGGUGAAGCAAGAUCGUGAGGACUUGUGGAGCGCUUAGAAGUGAGAAUGCCGGUAUGAGUAGCGAAAGAUAGGUGAGAAUCCUAUCCACCGAAUGACUAAGGUUUCCUGGGGAAGGCUCGUCCUCCCAGGGUUAGUCGGGACCUAAGUCGAGGCCGAGAGGCGUAGACGAUGGAUAACAGGUUGAGAUUCCUGUACUAGUUAAGUGCGUUUGAGCAAUGGAGGGACGCAGGAGGCUAAGAUGUGCAUUCUGUUGGAUUAGAAUGUCCAAGCAGUAAGUCUUGUGAAGAGUCAAAUGCUUUUCACUUUAAGGACAAGCUGUGAUGGGGAGCGAAAUUUAGUAGCGAAGCGUCUGAUGUCACACUGCCGAGAAAAGCUUCUAGUGAGUACUUAACUACCCGUACCGCAAACCGACACAGGUAGUCGAGGAGAGAAUCCUAAGGUGAGCGAGUGAACUCUCGUUAAGGAACUCGGCAAAAUGACCCCGUAACUUCGGGAGAAGGGGUGCUGAUCGCAAGAUCAGCCGCAGUGAAUAGGCCCAGGCGACUGUUUAUCAAAAACACAGGUCUCUGCAAAAUCGUAAGAUGACGUAUAGGGGCUGACGCCUGCCCGGUGCUGGAAGGUUAAAAGGAUGGGUUAGCUUCGGCGAAGCUCAGAAUUGAAGCCCCAGUAAACGGCGGCCGUAACUAUAACGGUCCUAAGGUAGCGAAAUUCCUUGUCGGGUAAGUUCCGACCCGCACGAAAGGCGUAACGAUCUGGGCACUGUCUCAACGAGAGACUCGGUGAAAUUAUAUUGUCCGUGAAGAUGCGGACUACCCGCGACAGGACGGAAAGACCCCAUGGAGCUUUACUGUAGCUUGAUAUUGAGUGUUUGUACAGCUUGUACAGGAUAGGUAGGAGCCAUAGAAACCGGAACGCUAGUUUCGGUGGAGGCGUUGGUGGGAUACUACCCUCGCUGUAUGACCACUCUAACCCGCACCACUAAUCGUGGUGGGAGACAGUGUCAGGUGGGCAGUUUGACUGGGGCGGUCGCCUCCUAAAAAGUAACGGAGGCGCCCAAAGGUUCCCUCAGAAUGGUUGGAAAUCAUUCGCAGAGUGUAAAGGCACAAGGGAGCUUGACUGCGAGACAGACAGGUCGAGCAGGGACGAAAGUCGGGCUUAGUGAUCCGGUGGUACCGUAUGGAAGGGCCAUCGCUCAACGGAUAAAAGCUACCCUGGGGAUAACAGGCUUAUCUCCCCCAAGAGUCCACAUCGACGGGGAGGUUUGGCACCUCGAUGUCGGCUCAUCGCAUCCUGGGGCUGUAGUCGGUCCCAAGGGUUGGGCUGUUCGCCCAUUAAAGCGGUACGCGAGCUGGGUUCAGAACGUCGUGAGACAGUUCGGUCCCUAUCCGUCGCGGGCGUAGGAAAUUUGAGAGGACCUGUCCUUAGUACGAGAGGACCGGGAUGGACAUACCUCUGGUGUACCAGUUGUGCCGCCAGGCGCAUCGCUGGGUAGCUACGUAUGGAUGUGAUAAACGCUGAAAGCAUCUAAGUGUGAAACACACCUCGAGAUGAGAUUUCCCAUUUCUUUAUGGAAGUAAGACCCCUGAAAGAUGAUCAGGUAGAUAGGUUAGAAGUGGCAGUGCGGUGACGCAUGAAGCGGACUAAUACUAAUCGGUCGAGGACUUAACCAAG